rnacentral:rRNA from 1 species
CGACGGGACCCGCACAAGCAGCGGAGCAUGUGGUUUAAUUCGAAGCAACGCGAAGAACCUUACCAGAUCUUGACAUCCAAUUGACCAUCUUUUAAUCGAGAUUUUGCCUUCGGGUACAAUUGAGACAGGUGGUGCAUGGUUGUCGUCAGCUCGUGUCGUGAGAUGUUGGGUUAAGUCCCGCAACGAGCGCAACCCUUGUGUUUAGUUGCAAACAGGUCAAGCUGUGCACUCUAGACAGACUGCCGUGGACAACACGGAGGAAGGUGGGGAUGACGUCAAAUCAUCAUGCCCCUUAUGAUCUGGGCUACACACGUGCUACAAUGGCCGGUACAACGGGCAGCGAAGGAGCGAUCCGGAGCGAAUCCUAAAAAGCCGGUCCUAGUUCGGAUUGCAGGCUGAAACUCGCCUACAUGAAGUUGGAGUUGCUAGUAAUCGCGAAUCAGAAUGUCGCGGUGAAUGCGUUCCCGGGUCUU